rnacentral:rRNA from 1 species
UACGAAGGGGGCUAGCGUUGUUCGGAUUUACUGGGCGUAAAGCGCACGUAGGCGGAUCUUUAAGUCAGAGGUGAAAUCCCAAGGCUCAACCUUGGAACUGCCUUUGAUACUGGGGAUCUUGAGUCCGGAAGAGGAGAGUGGAAUUCCUGGUGUAGCGGUGAAAUGCGCAGAUAUCAGGAAGAACACCCGUGGCGAAGGCGGCUCUCUGGGACGGUACUGACGCUGAGACGCGAAAGCGUGGGGAGCGAACAGG